AUACUCCAUAUUUGUCGCAUGGCGAAUAUGGGAAAGACUCCGCGGCAAAGGAUGGGCCCGCGGCCUGUUAGCUAGUUGGUGGGGUAGUGGCCUACCAAGGCAAUGAUGGGUAGCCGGGUUGAGAGACCGACCGGCCAGAUUGGGACUGAGACACGGCCCAGACUCCUACGGGAGGCAGCAGUGGGGAAUCUUGCACAAUGGGCGAAAGCCUGAUGCAGCGACGCCGCGUGCGGGAUGAAGGCCUUCGGGUUGUAAACCGCUUUCAGCAGGGACGAGGCCGCAAGGUGACGGUACCUGCAGAAGAAGCCCCGGCUAACUACGUGCCAGCAGCCGCGGUAAAU
rnacentral:rRNA from 1 species